UACGUAGGGGGCUAGCGUUGUCCGGAUUUAUUGGGCGUAAAGAGCGUGUAGGCGGCCUGUUAAGUCUGAUGUGAAAUGUCACGGCUCAACCGUGAAUCUGCAUUGGAUACUGGCAGGCUGGAGUCUGGAUGAGGAGGGUGGAAUUCCUGGUGUAGCGGUGAAAUGCGCAGAUAUCAGGAGGAAUACCGGUGGCGAAGGCGGCCCUCUAGGACAGUACUGACGCUGAGACGCGAAAGCGUGGGGAGCAAACAGG
rnacentral:rRNA from 1 species